rnacentral:rRNA from 1 species
CAGUCGCCGCGGGAAUACGAAGGGGGCUAGCGUUGUUCGGAGUUACUGGGCGUAAAGCGCACGUAGGCGGAUAUUUAAGUCAGGGGUGAAAUCCCAGAGCUCAACUCUGGAACUGCCUUUGAUACUGGGUAUCUUGAGUAUGGAAGAGGUGAGUGGAAUUCCGAGUGUAGAGGUGAAAUUCGUAGAUAUUCGGAGGAACACCAGUGGCGAAGGCGGCUCACUGGUCCAUUACUGACGCUGAGGUGCGAAAGCGUGGGGAGCAAACAGGAUUAGAUACCCCUGUAGUCCCUGUCUCUUAUAC